AUUAUAAUUAUAAUUUUUUUCCAUUUAUUUAAAAAAAAUGCACGCUGCUUUACUUGCAUCACAGUAACAUGUCAUAAUAUCCCUCAAUUAUUGUUCUUUGCCUGUGUAUUCAGUAUGCCGUCCCAGGACCUAAACGUUGAGGUUGGAGCUGAUGAAUUUAAUGACAUUCGGAACUCCAUUAUUGACUGGGAUGAUAGCACCUGGUACCCUGAUAAAGAGUCAGAGUCUUUGUCAUCAUCAGAAGAAGAUGUAACCAGGGAGGUCGAUUCUGACGAUGACAGUGAAGAAUCAACCUAUAAGCCUCGUAUUUGUGUGAGGACUGGUGGUGCUCUCAACAGUAAAAUUUGCUUGGAUGCUCUUCCUACAAUCAGCAUGGAAGACACUGUGCAUGAUGUUUCAGCCAAUAUCCCAGAUCCUACCGACACAGACCUUCACACAUUUCCAGAGUCAUGUAAAGUUAUGGUGGAGGAUGAUAUUAUUGGUCAUCCUGCUUCUAUCACAUAUCAUGACAGCCUGAAGCAGCUUGCUGAGUAUCUCUGUCUACCUGUAAACACGUGUCCUGGUAAAGACUCAAAGACCAAGCAAAAGUGCAUGGAAACUCAC
rnacentral:lncRNA from 1 species